AGCGAACGCUGGCGGCAGGCCUAACACAUGCAAGUCGAACGAAGUCUUCGGACUUAGUGGCGGACGGGUGAGUAACACGUGGGAACGUGCCUUUAGGUUCGGAAUAACUCAGGGAAACUUGUGCUAAUACCGAAUGUGCCCUUCGGGGGAAAGAUUUAUCGCCUUUAGAGCGGCCCGCGUCUGAUUAGCUAGUUGGUGGGGUAAUGGCCCACCAAGGCUACGAUCAGUAGCUGGUCUGAGAGGAUGACCAGCCACAUUGGGACUGAGACACGGCCCAAACUCCUACGGGAGGCAGCAGUGGGGAAUCUUGCGCAAUGGGCGAAAGCCUGACGCAGCCAUGCCGCGUGGAUGAUGAAGGUCUUAGGAUUGUAAAAUCCUUUCACCGGUGAAGAUAAUGACUGUAGCCGGAGAAGAAGCCCCGGCUAACUUCGUGCCAGCCGCCGCGGUAA
rnacentral:rRNA from 1 species